rnacentral:rRNA from 1 species
ACAUACGACCAUAGGUUAUAAGGCACUUAGGAUCCUGUCCGCUCUUUUAUAGAUAAACUGUAAACUGCUAGAUUAGUAGUUAGGUAGGUGACUACUAACGAAUCCCUAGUGUUGUAUAUU